rnacentral:rRNA from 1 species
CAGUCGCCACGGGAAUACGAAGGGGGCUAGCGUUGUUCGGAAUUACUGGGCGUAAAGGGCGCGUAGGCGGCCAUUCAAGUUAGAUGUGAAAGCCCUGGGCUCAACCUAGGAAUUGCAUUUGAUACUGUUUGGCUUGAGUUCGGGAGAGGUGAGUGGAAUUCCCAGUGUAGAGGUGAAAUUCGUAGAUAUUGGGAAGAACACCAGUGGCGAAGGCGGCUCACUGGACCGACACUGACGCUGAGGCGCGAAAGCGUGGGGAGCAAACAGGAUUAGAUACCCCAGUAGUCCCUGUCUCUUAUAC